rnacentral:rRNA from 1 species
GGUUGGCUCAGAAGCAGCCAUCCUUUAAAGAGUGCGUAACAGCUCACUAGUCGAGUGACCCUGCGCCGAAAAUGUACCGGGGCUAAGCCUGAUACCGAAACUGCGGAUUGUAGGAAACUAUAGUGGUAGGGGAGCGUUGUAUACGAGCAGAAGCCGUACCGUGAGGAGCGGUGGAUUGUAUAGAAGUGAGAAUGCCGGUGUGAGUAGCGAGAUGUAGGUGAGAAUCCUACACACCGAAAGCCCAAGGAUUCCAGGGGAAGGUUCGUCCGCCCUGGGUAAGUCGGGACCUAACGCGAGGCCGAAAGGCGUAGUGGAUGGAAAGCAGGCGAAAGAUUCCUGCACCCGUAUAUGGAGCGAAGGAGUGACGGAGACGGAUAGUGUGACCCUCUUAAUGGAUUGAGGGCGAAGCGAAGCGGCUGGUUACCAGGCAAAUCCGGUAACCAAAAGGCUAGAGCGUGACAGGUAAGCGAAAUCUUAGGAAAGUAGCGAAGCACAUGAUGACGGCUUCCAGGAAAAGCUUCUGGCAAUGCAUAUGCGGCCCGUACCAAAACCGACACAGGUGGGCAGGGAGAGAAUCCCGAGGUGAGCGAGAGAACUGUUGCCAAGGAACUCGGCAAAAUGACUCCGUAAGUUAGCGAGAAGGAGUGCUUAAGCAAUUAAGCCGCAGUGAAGAGGCCCAAGCGACUGUUUAACUAAAACACAGCUCUCUGCGAAGUCGCAAGACGAAGUAUAGGGGGUGACACCUGCCCGGUGCUGGAAGGUUAAGAGGAUCUGUUAAGAGCGAUCUGAAGCAGUGAUCCGAAGCCCCAGUGAACGGCGGCCGUAACUAUAACGGUCCUAAGGUAGCGAAAUUCCUUGUCAGGUAAGUUCUGACCCGCACGAAAGGUGUAACGAUUUGGGCGCUGUCUCGGCAGCAGACUCGGUGAAAUCUUAGUACCUGUGAAAAUGCAGGUUACCCGCAACUAGACGGAAAGACCCCAUGGAGCUUUACUGCAGCCUGAUAUUGAAUUCUGGUCAUACAUGUACAGGAUAGGUGGGAGACAAAGAGACGUGCACGCCAGUGUACGAGGAGUCGUCGUUGGGAUACCACUCUUGUGUGACCGGGGUUCUAACCUGGUAUCGAGAACAGGUACGGGGAGAGUGUCAGGUGGGCAGUUUGACUGGGGCGGUCGCCUCCCAAAGAGUAACGGAGGCGCCCAAAGGUACGCUCAGAUUGGAUGGAAACCAAUCGUCGAGUGCAAUUGCAGAAGCGUGCUUGACUGUGAGACAAACAAGUCGAACAGGGACGAAAGUCGGGAAUAGUGAUCCGGCGGUGCCGAAUGGAAGGGCCGUCGCUCAACGGAUAAAAGCUACCCUGGGGAUAACAGGCUGAUCUCGCCCAAGAGUUCACAUCGACGGCGAGGUUUGGCACCUCGAUGUCGGCUCAUCGCAUCCUGGAGCUGGAUUCGGUUCCAAGGGUUGGGCUGUCCGCCCAUUAAAGCGGUACGCGAGCUGGGUUCAGAACGUCGUGAGACAGUUCGGUCCCUAUCUGUUGUGGGCGAAGGAGAUCUGCGGAGAGCUGUCCUCAGUACGAGAGGACCGGGAUGGACCUACCGCUGGUGCACCGGUUGUUCCGCCAGGGGCAUAGCCGGGUAGCUAAGUAGGGAAAGGAUAAGCGCUGAAAGCAUCUAAGCACGAAGCCUACUCCAAGAUGAGAUCUCCCAUUCG